UACGGAGGGGGCGAGCGUUGUCCGAAGUUACUGGGCGUAAAGCGCGCGUAGGCGGGUUGGUAAGUCCGCUGUGAAAGCCCGGAGCUUAACUCCGGAGGGUCGGUGGAUACUGCCAGUCUUGAAGGUGCUAGGGGGAGAUGGAAUUACCGGUGUAGCGGUGAAAUGCGUAGAGACCCGGAGGAACACCAGUGGCGAAGGCGGCUUCCUGGUCUGCAACUGACGCUGUGGCGCGAAAGCUAGGGGAGCGAACGGG
rnacentral:rRNA from 1 species